AANGAGGGGGGGGCCUAUACAUGCAAGUCGUACGCUUCUUUUUCCACCGGAGCUUGCUCCACCGGAAAAAAGAAGAGUGGCGAACGGGUGAGUAACACGUGGGUAACCUGCCCAUCAGAAGGGGAUAACACUUGGAAACAGGUGCUAAUACCGUAUAACAAUCGAAACCGCAUGGUUUUGAUUUGAAAGGCGCUUUCGGGUGUCGCUGAUGGAUGGACCCGCGGUGCAUUAGCUAGUUGGUGAGGUAACGGCUCACCAAGGCCACGAUGCAUAGCCGACCUGAGAGGGUGAUCGGCCACAUUGGGACUGAGACACGGCCCAAACUCCUACGGGAGGCAGCAGUAGGGAAUCUUCGGCAAUGGACGAAAGUCUGACCGAGCAACGCCGCGUGAGUGAAGAAGGUUUUCGGAUCGUAAAACUCUGUUGUUAGAGAAGAACAAGGAUGAGAGUAACUGUUCAUCCCUUGACGGUAUCUAACCAGAAAGCCACGGCUAACUACGUGCCAGCAGCCGCGGUAAUACGUAGGUGGCAAGCGUUGUCCGGAUUUAUUGGGCGUAAAGCGAGCGCAGGCGGUUUCUUAAGUCUGAUGUGAAAGCCCCCGGCUCAACCGGGGAGGGUCAUUGGAAACUGGGAGACUUGAGUGCAGAAGAGGAGAGUGGAAUUCCAUGUGUAGCGGUGAAAUGCGUAGAUAUAUGGAGGAACACCAGUGGCGAAGGCGGCUCUCUGGUCUGUAACUGACGCUGAGGCUCGAAAGCGUGGGGAGCAAACAGGAUUAGAUACCCUGGUAGUCCACGCCGUAAACGAUGAGUGCUAAGUGUUGGAGGGUUUCCGCCCUUCAGUGCUGCAGCUAACGCAUUAAGCACUCCGCCUGGGGAGUACGACCGCAAGGUUGAAACUCAAAGGAAUUGACGGGGGCCCGCACAAGCGGUGGAGCAUGUGGUUUAAUUCGAAGCAACGCGAAGAACCUUACCAGGUCUUGACAUCCUUUGACCACUCUAGAAAUAGAGCUUCCCCUUCGGGGGCAAAGUGACAGGUGGUGCAUGGUUGUCGUCAGCUCGUGUCCUGAGAUGUUGGGUUAAGUCCCGCAACGA
rnacentral:rRNA from 1 species